rnacentral:rRNA from 1 species
AUGAACGCUGGCGGCGUGCCUAAUACAUGCAAGUCGAGCGAACAGACGAGGAGCUUGCUCCUCUGACGUUAGCGGCGGACGGGUGAGUAACACGUGGAUAACCUACCUAUAAGACUGGGAUAACUUCGGGAAACCGGAGCUAAUACCGGAUAAUAUAUUGAACCGCAUGGUUCAAUAGUGAAAGACGGUUUUGCUGUCACUUAUAGAUGGAUCCGCGCCGCAUUAGCUAGUUGGUAAGGUAACGGCUUACCAAGGCAACGAUGCGUAGCCGACCUGAGAGGGUGAUCGGCCACACUGGAACUGAGACACGGUCCAGACUCCUACGGGAGGCAGCAGUAGGGAAUCCUCCGCAAUGGGCGAAAGCUUGACGGAGCAACGCCGCGUGAGUGAUGAAGGUCUUCGGAUCGUAAAACUCUGUUAUUAGGGAAGAACAAAUGUGUAAGUAACUAUGCACGUCUUGACGGUACCUAAUCAGAAAGCCACGGCUAACUACGUG